GCGGGGGACACCGUCAAGUCGCAAAAGGCAGCCGCCAGGUCAGCCGGGUCGAGCGAAGCGGCCCCCGCACGGCGACGGUCCGGGUCACCGCCGUCCGACCGGCAGCCAUCGCCGGCCGAGACCGCCGAAGAGACGACAGAACACGACCAUCACCGCUGAGGAGGAGGCCAGGCGAGCCAGAGAGCGUCUGCAGACGGGUGAUCUCUGGCUGGGUGAGUUUUUGGUCUGGAUGUUCGGACUGCUGUACGUCGGAGGCGUUACCAUCGGCUGAGACUGUGCAUCGGCGAAGACCAGCGGGAAAGCCAAUGCUAAUGGAAUGGAUGGGAACUCCGGAAUGAGACUGAUGCAAGGAAGCUGCGCUGGUAUGACAGAGGUCUACGGUGGUGCGGGCACCUCGAAAAAAGCGUGAGACUUGGGUUUUUACGCCGACGUUUUGUUAGUUUACUGUUGUUGGAGUGCGUCACAAAGAGGUGUGGGUUAAUAUACAUCGCAAAAAGUAUUUGCCCUAUCGGUACACACUCAGGACAAUUCAAGGUGGUGAAUGAGGCUUAACGAAAAUGCGUUACAAUGUAUGCGUUGCAGAUAUUUAAUUUUCAAAGAUGAAUAUCCAUGAAUAUCAACGUGAGGUGCGAUUCGAUACAAAAUAUAGUGAUACGCACGCAUCGCUGGGCCUGGACGCAUGCAUGCGCAUUAACAAUAACAAUGAAUUUCGUAGGAUAGCAAGGCAUGCGUUGUCACUGCAAUGAUAAUGGUCGUAUGGGUUAUCCAGGCUACGCAAUGCACUCAAAUGUUGCGUUGAGUCCCCUAGCUUCGCUGAUUCCGCCUAAAUUUACCAUCCACGUCUUGCCAAUGUCAUCCUUGCUAGUCCUUUUCACUUUAAGGUUAUUUUCCACCUGGCACAUUGUUCUAUAUGCAUACAUGCAUGUCCGUUUGAUUCGUUGCCCGCAGCAUGUGAAGUUUUACAAAUAAUGUUAAAGGUUGCUUGUUGUCCAUUGUCGAGCCGCCAGAUGAUUACAAGUUAGGUCAAGUCGCGUGUGUUAUUACCUCAUCGGAGCUUUCCUUAUUUUGCAGAGAAAAGCUGGUUCAAGUCAAAGUGCAUUACCACUAUUUAUUUUCAACAGGUAGCAUCAGAUCAUCAGAGGGCCUUCCAUGCUGAUCAGCUUGCCUUUGAUCCUGAGUACAAUAUGCAUUUUUAAUCAAGGCGACGCAUGUUCGGGAUUUGUUGCAGCUGAUUAUGCGCUUACUAAAAUCGAAAUUUGGUAUCACUUCCUGGACGAAUACAACGGAAUAGCUCUGUGAAUA